GAGGUUCCGGCCGGGGUGGGCUGCGCGGGGUGCCCGGGGUGCCCGGGGUGGGCAGCCCAGCCUUCCCCGUGGGGUUUGCGGCGUCCCUAGGCUCCCUGCCUCCCGGGCAGGGUCCCGGGCCCGCGGCCUCGAUCUCCUCCUUUUCGGGAGUAAACAUUAUUACCAUCCCAAGUUCACGGCUUGGAAAAGGAGGCUCAAAGAUUGACCAGCCACCAGCCACAAAGCCUGUAAGUGAAGGCAUCUAGCUUCCUUCUACAAAGAGAAAGCCCAGGGCUUGGCUCGACCUUCUCACCACCGCUACCCCCAGCUUCCGCUCCCUGGGCUCUUCACGACCAGCUGGAGCCUUCCAGAACCUCUCCAGAGAACAGCUCUGCUCCAGGUAACUUCUGUGAUUACACAGUUCCACGAAGAUUUUCUAGAGAUUACUGUGUCUUGGCCUUCAUUGUUUCAUUCAAGGUGGGGAUUUGGGGCCGAGUAGAAGCAGAAGAUGAGACCUGGAAGGGAUGGUACUGGGGACAAGGGGACCUUAACAGGUGGGCAUCUCUCUACGCGUGGAGGGUGUCCACUUCUCUGUGUCCUGGUCGGGUCGUUUUGUUACGUUGUGAAGAUGAGAGACGCUUAUUCGCUGAAUGCUCAGUUCACAAAUAUUAAGUGACAGCAUUGAUUCCAGCAGGCCGGGGCCCCUGGGGAUCCCUGGCAGCAAAGGCUGCCUCACUGCCACCCAGUGUGCACCUGGCCUGCUUCCUCCCCGGCACCCGCCCCAUGUCUGUUCCUGUAUAAUCAGAGAAGCACGCGGGCAGAGUUGGAAAUAGCGCUUGCCCGACCUAAGGUGACACACCCGAGGACUCUGAGCUGCCCUCCUCUGCCAUAUGCGUGACCCAAACGCCACCACAUGGGCACACGGCACCUGUGCAGACAACAGCAGGAAACGGGGCCCACGGAACCUCUGUUCCCUGGCUUAGGCUUUGACGAGGUCUGGGGCGAAGGGGGUUGUUGCUGGCUUCUCUGUGUGUCUAAAAGGAACAGCUCUUCUGGCUGUCGGGCAGGGUGAUGGGGGAGGUGAGUCAGUCUCUGCCUACCGUGGGCCAUUUCCUGCUUUGGGCCUGAUGUCAUCGACUGCGUCUGGGCCACUCCCACCCCUAAGGGACUUUGGGGUGACGAUGACAAAAUUCAGACUGGAGGGGGAGGGUGUGGAAGGCUAGGCCUGUGUCUUACUAAAGGGCUCUGCCUGCCCUUCCCCCUCUCCUGCCUCCCGCUGAGAGCCUCUUAGUGAAAGUACCCUCUGAAUGCCUGGCACCAUGAUGGUGGUAAUUACCGUUGCUUGAUGCGUUGCUAAGUGACUGAUGGGAUCUAGUUGAAAUAUAUUAGCUGGGGUCCUGAAAUUUUGAGAACAUCAGCUUCCUCUGUAGAAUAAUGAAAACCCAAGAACCAUCUUAGCAAUAAAAUUGUAUCCAUUAUCCUGGAACAGUCACAUCCUAUUUGUUUGUGCCCUCGGAGAAGGCCCAAGGGAUGAGGCACCUCGAUCUCUCUUUCCCCUGAAACAUCUGAAAUAGCCUCGCCGCUCCCUUGACUGCGCACAUUUCCAGGUUUUCAGUAAAAGCAUCUCUUGAUGAAGAUGGAGGAAUUUUGCUGGAAGCAUUUGAGGUGCUUCCUUUUUAUAAAGACUGUCUAAAGCACAAACAGUCUGAACUCCAGUUUAAUUUACUUUAAAGAUGUCAGCUCCACCAGUUUAUAAAUUUUUGCCCCAGACAGUAAUAAUUUAGAGUAAAUAUAUGUAAUGUUUCUCAGCUAUCUUCUGGAAUGUUUCAUGUCCCAGUAUGGAUUAUUUUUACUAGAAUUGUCAAUCGGGACCUUUCAUAAUUGAA